CUUCAGCGAACCCAGCCACAGCGGGCCGUCGCGCCGGUCCCGGCCGUACGUGGCGAGCAGCGCGCCGGCCUC
rnacentral:antisense_RNA from 1 species